UGAGUGUGGGAGGGUUGAGGAUGGGAGGUAGGUGGUGGUUGUGUGUUGGUUCUGAGUGUGGGAGGAUGGGAGGAUGGGGGGUAGGUGGUGGUUGUCUGCUGGUUCUGAGUGUGGGAGGGUCGGAGGAUGGGAAGUAGGUGGUGGUUGUCUGCUGUUUCUGAGUGUGGGAGGAUGGGGGGUAGGUGGUGGUUGUCUGCUGGUUCUGAGUGUGGGAGAAUGGGAGGAUGGGGGGUAGGUGGUGGCUGUCUGCUG
rnacentral:lncRNA from 1 species